AUGGCGUACGCGUCGCCGUACGUGCUGUCGUUCCUGCUGCUGCUGUCCAUGCCGGCGGUGUACUACCUGGCGCCGCGCCUGCUGAUGCCCAAGACGCUCCCGGCCAUCCCGGACGCCGACGAGACGGAGGACCUCGCGCUCUUCCGCCGCGCCGUGCUCCUCUCGGCCGCGCCCGCCGCCGGCUCCGGCUCCGGCUCCGGCGCGGCGCCCUCCUCCUUCGGCGUCUUCGGCCGCCGCCCGCAGGCGCGGCCCAAGGUGGCCUUCCUCUUCCUCACCAACUCCGACCUCGUCUUCGCGCCGCUCUGGGAGAAGUUCUUCGCGGGGCACCACGGCCUCCUCAACCUCUACGUCCACGCCGACCCCGCCGCCAACCUCACGCUGCCGCCGACCCCCUCCUUCCGCGGCCGCAUCAUCCGGGGCAAGGCCACGGCGCGCGCCUCCGCCACGCUCAUCUCCGCCGCGCGCCGCCUCCUCGCCACCGCGCUGCUCGACGACCCGGCCAACCAAUUCUUCGCGCUGCUCUCCCAGUCCUGCGUCCCGCUCCUCCCGUUCCCCGCCCUCUACCGCACCCUCCUCACCGACAACAAUGCCGGCCGCCACCGCCGCCACCGCAGCUUCAUCGAGAUCCUGGACAGCGAGCCCACGCUGCACGCCCGCUACUACGCGCGCGGCGACAACGUGAUGCUCCCGGAGGUGCCCUUCGACCGCUUCCGCGUCGGCUCCCAGUUCUUCGUGCUCGCCAGGAGGCACGCCGUCAUGGUGGUCAGGGACAGGCGGCUCUGGAACAAGUUCAAGGCGCCGUGCCUCGUCAAGGAGAAGGACUCGUGCUACCCGGAGGAGCACUACUUCCCGACGCUGCUCGACAUGCAGGACCCCGACGGCUGCACCAAGUACACGCUCACCAGGGUCAACUGGACCGACGCCGUCGGCGGCCACCCGCACACCUACCAGCCGGAGGAGGUCUCCGGGGACCUCAUCAGGGAGCUCAGGAAGUCCAACGGGACCUACUCCCACAUGUUCGCGCGCAAGUUCGCGCCCGAGACCCUUGCGCCGCUCAUGGAGAUCGCCGACUCCGUCAUCCUCCGUGACUAG
rnacentral:rRNA from 1 species